rnacentral:rRNA from 1 species
AUUGAACGCUGGCGGCAUGCCUUACACAUGCAAGUCGAACGGUAACAGGUCUUCGGAUGCUGACGAGUGGCGAACGGGUGAGUAAUACAUCGGAACGUGCCCGAGAGUGGGGGAUAACGAAGCGAAAGCUUUGCUAAUACCGCAUACGAUCUCAGGAUGAAAGCAGGGGACCGCAAGGCCUUGCGCUCACGGAGCGGCCGAUGGCAGAUUAGGUAGUUGGUGGGAUAAAAGCUUACCAAGCCGACGAUCUGUAGCUGGUCUGAGAGGACGACCAGCCACACUGGGACUGAGACACGGCCCAGACUCCUACGGGAGGCAGCAGUGGGGAAUUUUGGACAAUGGGCGCAAGCCUGAUCCAGCCAUGCCGCGUGCAGGAUGAAGGCCUUCGGGUUGUAAACUGCUUUUGUACGGAACGAAAAGACUCUGGUUAAUACCUGGGGUCCAUGACGGUACCGUAAGAAUAAGCACCGGCUAACUACGUGCCAGCAGCCGCGGUAAUACGUAGGGUGCGAGCGUUAAUCGGAAUUACUGGGCGUAAAGCGUGCGCAGGCGGUUAUGUAAGACAGAUGUGAAAUCCCCGGGCUCAACCCGGGAACUGCAUUUGUGACUGCGUAGCUAGAGUACGGCAGAGGGGGAUGGAAUUCCGCGUGUAGCAGUGAAAUGCGUAGAUAUGCGGAGGAACACCGAUGGCGAAGGCAAUCCCCUGGGCCUGUACUGACGCUCAUGCACGAAAGCGUGGGGAGCAA